ensembl:snoRNA SNORD14 Small nucleolar RNA SNORD14
UCAUUAUGAUGAUUAAUUUCCAAACAUUCACAGGUUUCACUAGAAGCGUUUUUCCUUAUAUUGGCCGGUUCUCCCUUAGAUGAGUGA